AUUGAACGCUGGCGGCAUGCCUUACACAUGCAAGUCGGACGAGUGGCGAACGGGCGAGUAAUAUAUCGGCACGUACCGAGUAAUGGGGGAUAACUAAGCGAAAGAUUAGCUAAUACCGCAUAUUAUUCGUGCGGGCGAUAUUGGAUUAGCUAGUUGGGGGGGUAAAGACCUACCAAGGCGACGAGCAGUAGCGGGUCUGAGAGGAUGAUCCGCCACACGGGGACUGAGACACGGCCCAGACUCCUACGGGAGGCAGCAGUAGGGAAUUUUUGGCAAUGGGCGCAAGCCUGAUCCAGCCAUGCCGCGUGUCUGAAGAAGGUCUUCGGGUUGUAAAGGACUUUUGUCAGGGAAGCGGUACCUAAAGAAUAAGCACCGGCUAACUACGUGCCAGCAGCCGCGGUAAUUC
rnacentral:rRNA from 1 species